AGAGUUUGAUCCUGGCUCAGAUUGAACGCUGGCGGUAUGCUUAAGACAUGCAAGUCGAACGGUAACAGGCAGAGCUUGCUCUGUGCUGACGAGUGGCGGACGGGUGAGUAACACGUGGAAAUCUACCCAGUAGCGGGGGAUAAGUCAGAGAAAUUUGAUCUAAUACCGCAUACGUCCUACGGGAGAAAGGCUUCGGCCACUAUUGGAUGAGUCCGCGUUAGAUUAGCUAGUUGGUGAGGUAACUGCUCACCAAGGCGACGAUCUAUAGCUGGUCUGAGAGGAUGAUCAGCCACAUUGGGACUGAGACACGGCCCAGACUCCUACGGGAGGCAGCAGUCGGGAAUAUUGGACAAUGGGCGAAAGCCUGAUCCAGCAAUACCGCGUGUGUGAAGAAGGCCUGCGGGUUGUAAAGCACUUUCAGUAGGGAAGAUAAUGACGUUACCUACAGAAGAAGCACCGGCUAACUCCGUGCCAGCAGCCGCGGUAAUACGGAGGGUGCAAGCGUUAAUCGGAAUUACUGGGCGUAAAGCGCACGUAGGCGGCUGUUUAAGUCGGAUGUGAAAGCCCCGGGCUCAACCUGGGAACUGCAUUCGAUACUGGGCAGCUAGAAUUUGAGAGAGGCAAGUGGAAUUUCCGGUGUAGCGGUGAAAUGCAUAGAGAUCGGAAGGAACACCAGUGGCGAAGGCGACUUACUGGACCAAAAUUGACGCUGAGGUGCGAAAGCGUGGGUAGCAAACAGGAUUAGAUACCCUGGUAGUCCACGCCGUAAACGAUGUCAACUAGCCG
rnacentral:rRNA from 1 species